rnacentral:rRNA from 1 species
AUUGAACGCUGGCGGCAGGCCUAACACAUGCAAGUCGAGCGGAUGAAGGGGGCUUGCUCCUGGAUUCAGCGGCGGACGGGUGAGUAAUGCCUAGGAAUCUGCCUGGUAGUGGGGGAUAAUGUCCGGAAACGGGCGCUAAUACCGCAUACGUCCUGAGGGAGAAAGUGGGGGAUCUUCGGACCUCACGCUAUCAGAUGAGCCUAGGUCGGAUUAGCUAGUUGGUGGGGUAAAGGCCUACCAAGGCGACGAUCCGUAACUGGUCUGAGAGGAUGAUCAGUCACACUGGAACUGAGACACGGUCCAGACUCCUACGGGAGGCAGCAGUGGGGAAUAUUGGACAAUGGGCGAAAGCCUGAUCCAGCCAUGCCGCGUGUGUGAAGAAGGUCUUCGGAUUGUAAAGCACUUUAAGUUGGGAGGAAGGGCAGUAAGUUAAUACCUUGCUGUUUUGACGUUACCAACAGAAUAAGCACCGGCUAACUUCGUG